CUUGUAUUCCCUCCGUUCAGAAUUACUUGACUCAAAAAUGGAUGUAUGUAAAACUAAAAUAUGUCUAAAUACAUCCAUUUCUGCGACAAGUAAUUCCGAACGGAGGGAGUAUUAC
rfam:Triticum aestivum genome assembly, contig: Triticum_aestivum_CS42_TGACv1_scaffold_226528_3B